rnacentral:misc_RNA from 1 species
GUAAAUAUAUAAAAAAGAAAAGUUUUGACUUCUUCUAAUAAUAUAAUACUUAUGAAAUAUGUCUUUAAAAUUUUAUAAAAUUAUGAAAUUUGCAAGGAAAUUAAAUAAUUUAAUGAUAUGAACACUGAAACAGAGCCUGUAAGUGUACUGAAGUAGAUGCGAUGCAAAAUUAAGACCAGACAACAUAAAAUAACACAAUUCAUGAAUGCCCCCAACAUCAAGCACAUGGGCAUGCUCCCUCCACCUUAUCACCUUCUUCAUCCACCUCUCCUUCAUUUUGCCACCUCAAUCACAUUUAAUUUUAUACAUUUUCUGAUAUU